UCUACCGGUGGCUAAAACAUACGUAUGCAUAGUUGCGUCCGCGCUUUGGCUCGUCGUUGGCGUUACGGAACUGCGUAUAGGUAUAAGUAAGGUAUACCGUAUACAUGCUCUGUACCGGGUAUCCCGUAUCCCGGUAUCCCCUGAUCCCACGAAGAGUGAGCGAAGCGGCGUUCGCAGGCUACGGGUAACUCCACCUGACCCCACCCCGGCAACCCGCAACCCCCGCAGGCGUCGCGCCUCCCCCAAAGCGACGCGGCGAACGAACGGAUAGGAGGCACUGGGAGGCACGACCGAUGGCAGCAGCAACAGCAGCAGCAGCUACGAACCAAGGAACGAAAGGCACCCCGCGCCUGCUGCCGUCAGUCUAUCGGCAACCUGCGAACUAGACGUAUCGCGGUGCUUACGUAAUAAACAUUAUUAUUAUUAUUAUUAUUGUCAAUUACUUGUCAGUGUUAUUUUAAUACUUUAAUUUUCGCGCUUCGGUACGUUUUUCAUUUGCUUGGAUAGACAGACCAUACACAAUAUACAACAAGAAGAAGAAGAAGAAGAAGAAGAAUUACGCGAAAUUAAAAGAAGGGGGAAAAAACGAGAAACGAAAGGAGAGUAACGCAGAGACGAAGAAGUCCUUUUUGCGUCACCCUGUUACCGAAUCAACGUGCUAUACACCAGCCACCCCAAUAAACGUUGGAACGGUGGUAGCCGAAGCGAAAACGAAACUCCUCGAGUAUAAGGUGCAGGACGACGUCUACGAGAAGGAUAACUAGGGGGAGGUGGUGGUGGAGGAGAAGGAGAAGGAGUGCGACGAGGACGAGGACGAGAGCGAGAGCGAGGAGGGGACCUGGACUUGGAGCGAAACAGCUUGGAGGCGCGCGUCGUCUUCGCCGGAUCAACCAUAACGCCGCCCGCCUUAAAACGUCCGAGGCGGGAACCGGUGGAGUCAUCGCCGCCCCCCGCUCGCCCUGUCGUCACAACAGCGGACAUCGUUCACUGCAUCAUGGACGCGCCGCUGUCGCAGAGCAUGGACUCCGUAAAUACCGCUACCGGCGAGGACGAGGUUGGUAAAUUUUAUUCAGAUGUUUUGCUCGCCAAAAAUCUAGGUACGGACUAGCCCCCGCACAGACGCAGGCAGCGGAUACCACCGGGGAUAAGGAAAGAGAAAGAGGAGAUCUUGUUCUUGAGAAAUCAAAAAAAGCCUCGCAAAGCUAUCAAGGGGUGGAAAACUCAUGACGAUCCCUUUGGCUACCGCGCGUUUUCCGGAAAACUUUGUAUCCCCUAUAGUAGGUUGCAGACAUCGAGCGCCGGCAACGAGGCGGGCAGGAAGGCAGACGUUGGGCACCUGCGAACUCCGCGCCGACCACGCUUGUUAUUGAUUUUUCCACAACACCGUCCAAACUGGCGUGUCACGUCAUAUGGAGGAUUACAGUCGACUCGACUCAUGCACUAACACACACCGUUUCCAUAUUUGCGAGUAUACCGUUUCUCUAAUUAAACGAACAUUGCUUCUUUUUUCUUUCACCACAAAUAAUGUACGAUACAGGUCAAACAGGCGGUUCAGCUCUCGGAGAAAUUAUUAUUCAUUUUUAUUAUCGACGAAAAUGUUUGGUUUCAUCGAUUUGCUGAUUUUUCGGUAACUCAGAAAAUUUCAAUUCUUUCCAGCUCGAUAUCGUGAAAAAACGAAUAUUCCCUGCCCGCUUAGUAGGGGAAAAUACUGUAAUCCCCGCGUAUCAUCGCUCUUCGAAAUCCACCUCUAGUUUUUCAAAUAUGACUUCUCAUGAGUCGUAAAAUUUUUACAAAUCUGUGCUUAUAUGAUUUGACGAAUAGUGAAGCUUUCUGUUUCCUUAAAUUUUUCAACCCUUUUUACUCCCCUCUAGACGAUUAUAAGAAAACAAAGAGCGCCGCAAUUAUUAACACGAACGUCAAUACAUUAUUUCAUUCGUUAUUGCAGCACAAAACGAAGUUGUUGAAAAAUGUUUUUAAAUUUUUUAUGUUUGUAUUAAUAUACACCUUUUUAUAUCAACAUGAAGGAGAUGAAGAGAAUUAAUAAUAACAACACAAAACAUUGUCGUUACAUGCCACGUAUAAGCGCACCUGCUCGCAUUAAUUGCGAUGGGGUGGUUUGAAAAUUAGAAUUUUUAUAGAGGUGUAUAGAGAUACACAAAGUUCAACUGACAAACUUCGUUGUAUCGUGUAUACAUACACAUUUAUGAUAUACAUGAAUACAUGUGUAUAGGUGUAUGCACAUGUGUAUAAUAUGCGUGUGUAUAUCAAACUUGAUUACGCAAGCGCACAUGCGUAAACAAAUGUUGCAUUUGCCAAACAGUCCAAUUAUGCAAAUCUAAUUGUAUUUGCCAACGGUUAUAGAUAUUAUACGGAGUUUAUCGGUGCGUAUCGAUAUAUUUAUUAUACCUACCACGUAUACACCUAUACAUACACGUUAUAUAAUCCUAGAAUUUAGAUGUGUAGGUAUCAUAAUCACACACGUAUGUAUUUCGGAAAUGCGUUUGAUAUGAGCGCUGUAACGACUCUUUCAGACCUUUGAACAAAAAAUUUCCAGUUUAAAUUCAAACGCUAUGCAUUCAUAAAGAAAGAAGAGCACCGCAGAUAUCCGUACAUUUUUUGGUGAAAUAUUUUGUCGAAACACAAGAAAAAUCCGGACCCUCAAGAAUUAAAAAAAAAAAAAAAAAAAAAAAA
rnacentral:lncRNA from 1 species